AAAAAUACCACUAGGCUCCAUUUAAAUAUGUAUGAAUUUGAAAUGAUCAGGACAAAAAUACAUCUUUUGAAAAGUUGCACAUGCUUGCUUGUUUCCUCUCCUGUCUACCUUUACCCCCAAGCCCCACCUAUACAAUGUCAUCCACCUACUCUGAUUCCAAUAUUGGUUACCACCGAAAAGAAAAAGAAAAAAAACACCACCUUGAAAAUAUGGGGUAUUGCAUUUGAUGAGUGACUAUUAACCACAAGGGAGCCAAUUUAAAAACAAAGGAACCCUCAACCGAAAAGAAAACAAAGGUACAAAGAGAGAUGGUUACUUCAGCGCAAUAAUCUGCUUCCUGGAGGAGCUUCACAUUUUCAUUAGCGCUUUGCUGCAGGUUCAGCCAGCUUCUUUCCAACAGAGAAAGUUGACACCUAUUCUCAAUCUCAAUCAUCUCAUCGUCUUAUCAAAUGAGGACACUUCUAAAAGAGCAUAAUAUUUGUCCUCCCAUCUCCCUUUCACACCAAAAUGUGGACAAUUCCUUGAUUUUAUACAUAAUUAACUAAAGAGAGUAUGAAGUGGAAAAUGCACCUUGACUGGUGAACAAUGUUGGCUAAGAGAAUUCAUAAUAAACCAGCCUUCAAACCCGUGUUGGCCUCACGUUCUUGGAGCUGUGGCAACAUCCAAAUCUUGAGAAGCUUUUCUGCAGUUAGAAACAUAACUCCAUAACAUAAAUGCAGCUAGCAAUCUUAGGGCAAAAUAGAGCUUUCAUUCUCUUUCUUGACCUUCAAAUCCAAACAUCAAUUUAUGGAAUUUUGCUAUCCAUAUUACUUGCUCACAUGAAUUAUUGACUACAAACUAUUGCUUUGAUACUAAAGAAUAUUUACCGGUGGACUUGACUUGCUUUCCUCUGCACUAGCUGAAAACAAAAAUGCCUUUAUGGGCCUCAAAACACAAAACAAUUACCACCAAAAAAUCUACCAAUCCUAUAGUUCUAAACCAAGUCACAAUCUAGGCAGGCCUUACAAGUGCAGCCACUGAUUCCCUACUGGCUCCUUUACUGAUCAAAAUUCAUGUCAACUCCUGAAAACUUCUACUAAAUAUAUUUGUAUCACCAUACGAACACUAAACUCCUGGAGUACUGCGUCCCAUAAAGAGAUACUUGAGAUCUUCAACUUUCAAGCGAGUAGCUGAGCCACCACUUGGAUCUUCAACAAAAGCAGAUGCAACCAUUUUUCUCUUCUCCUCCUGGAGAGCUAAUAUUCAAUCUUCCACUGUGUUUUUAAUAGUGAGUCGGGUUACAGUAACAGGACGAGUCUGACCAAUUCUAUGCGCUCGAUCUACAGCUUGAUCUUCAGUAGUAGGAUUCCAC
rnacentral:misc_RNA from 1 species